rnacentral:rRNA from 1 species
GGAAUAUUGGACAAUGGGCGAAAGCCUGAUCCAGCAAUGCCGCGUGAGUGAUGAAGGCCUUAGGGUUGUAAAGCUCUUUUACCAGGGAUGAUAAUGACAGUACCUGGAGAAUAAGCUCCGGCUAACUCCGUGCCAGCAGCCGCGGUAAUACGGAGGGAGCUAGCGUUGUUCGGAAUUACUGGGCGUAAAGAGUACGUAGGCGGUGAUUCAAGUCAGAGGUGAAAGCCUGGAGCUCAACUCCAGAACUGCCUUUGAAACUAGAUCGCCAGAAUUGUGGAGAGGUUAGUGGAAUUCCGAGUGUAGAGGUGAAAUUCGUAGAUAUUCGGAAGAACACCAGUGGCGAAGGCGACUAACUGGACACAUAUUGACGCUGAGGUACGAAAGCGUGGGGAGCAAACAGGAUUAGAUACCCUGGUAGUCCACGCCGUAAACGAUGAUAACUAGCUGUUCGGGGUCUACGAUCCUGAGUGGCGCAGCUAACGCAUUAAGUUAUCCGCCUGGGGAGUACGGUCGCAAGAUUAAAACUCAAAUGAAUUGACGG